rnacentral:lncRNA from 1 species
AAGAUUAGGUGAUACUUUGGUUGUUUUAUGGAUUGGGAGACUUGAUCAAACAUUGUUUAUCUUUUGGUUGUUCAAUAUUUAUGCAAUUUCAUGCUUGAUUUCAAUAUUGCUUUGUUGUUUAGAUCUACGCUGAUUCUUGAUUGCAAAGUAAUAAUAUGUUAGUUUGGAUGAUUUAAGUCCGUAAUUGCUUGGAUUAUUCAAACAUAAGAACACUUGGUGUAAAAACUAAGGAAGUUGCAUGAUCUAGUGUUGUCACCAUACGUUUGGGUAACUAGGAUCAGAUCUCUCUCUUUCUUAAUGCAAUUAACAAUUGUUUUGAUGCCUAAGGCCCAAGGAUGUUCCUUGGCAAUUUGUUAAUUAGUAAUUAAUUAGAGGACGUUCCCUAAUUGGUUUAAUCAUAAGGAGAGAUAAUGUUGGUGAGAAGCGUCUUCCAUCUCCAUAACUAAUCUAUUGAAUUAAUUAAAGGAAACUAAGAGUCAAUGAUCAAUCCCAACAAUUGAAGUGGAUCCAAUUCUUCAACUAGAGCUUUCUUAUUAUUGAUUUCUCUUUAUUUUUAUUAUUUGUUUUAUUUUUAUUGCUUUCAGUUUUAGAUUAAUUAAAUCAAUCUCAAAAUCCCCCCAUUUUACUUUCAGUUUUAUCUCGUUUUAGUUUAUUUUGCUUUCCGUUUAUUUCUCUUUCAGUUUUAUCUCGUUUCAGUUUUA